GACGCGCGUUCACACGAGGACGGGACGCGUUUGAACGAAAGAGCGAGCUGUGUCUCCAAACACGGACCCUGCUUCGGAUUCACCCGCGCUUCUCGCGCUACCGCCAGUCUGUACUUCAGAAACGGGACUGUAAUAACAACACCGGGGCGCAGCACAACAGAUCCCGGAGAAGCGCGCUUUUGAUAUGAGAUGACGACAGACUGCUCUGGUUUGAAGUGGUGUCCCUGUGGGCUACUCGGCGCUGGACGGACGGCAGCGGAACCCGACAGUGACAGAUAGAGCGGUCUUUGUCUCCAGCUCACCUGUGGUGCUCCUGGAUGUUCAUCAGGAUGGUGCAUUCAGCGUCUCUCUGUGCCUGUCUGUCUCUUCUGACUGUGCUCAGCUGUCACUCUCAUGUCCUCCCCCGGCUCUCUUUUCCUAUGGGUGACCCAGGUCGUUCCCUCAGUAUCUUCACAAACCCUGACGUUUACAACACCACCACGCUGUUGCUUAGCAAUGACGAGGCCACGUUAUUCGUCG